ACUCCGCUUACGGCUUGUGCGUGAGUUUGGAAAUCGGGGACACACGCACGGCACCAAAACGGCGUUUGAUCCCGAAGCGACCUUAAUAGUUGAUACGCCCUUCGUUUGCCACCUACCCACCUCUCUCUUUUCUUUUUCUUUUUUUCAUAUUUCAGUCCUCGAUUCCAGAGAACACGACAAUAUGAUAAAUCAAAAUGCAUUCGACAAACAAACGAACACGAAAUUUCUGCCUUUUCAUUCUGCCCGUUCCCUCCCUCGUCUUUUCUUGCGAUAAAUGUGGUAAUUGAGUUAUACCAUCUCGAUUUCAGUGUGUGCCUAGUCGAGCGAAAAAUGCGGAGGUGCCAAAUUGCCGAAGUGACUACGGGUGGUCAAAACGGAAGGUCGGCCUUGGCGGCGGUAGGAUGGCGUCAUUCCGCGCCAACAGACGCAGACAGCCUCUUCAAAUUUCAUCAGAAUAAACCGUGAUUCGAUGAAAACGGGGAAAGAAACGAAGCGACGAUGCAAGGACUCUCAGAGGGAUAGAUAGAAAUGAGCGAGAGAGAGAGAGAUUGCGUGUACGACCAGAGUUUGUUUGAGUCGAAGAAAAAAACAAAAAAACAAAACAGAAAAAAUAAUAAAAAUUUUCAGACAGAAUCGAUCCAUCAUGGAAGGACGGAAGACGAGGAGCAAGCAUAUCGUGUCUUCCCCUCACGAAGAAAACGAAGGAGAAAAAGAAGCCAAACAACCAAUUCUUGGAAUGUUGCUGAGCCGCUUUCAUCCAACAAUGUUGUAACCUCAGCGAUACUUUUUGUUUUCUUCCGGAACUGCGUUCUUUCUAAUCACGAAGCGUCUGUUGAUGUAUAAAUACGGAAACUCGAAAGCCUUUGUUUCUUUUGUCAACAUCCCAAGUACACAACCACACACACAGAGCAACCUAAUAAAAACGUUACUUUUUUAUCUCGUCCUUCCUCUCCGUGUUUUCGUGUGUGUAAGCCCGUAUAUGUGUCGUUGGUUCAGACUUUGGUUUGAGCCUUUGGAGACCGGAAAUCCGGCGAUAAGUGUAAAGUCCAGGGAAAGUUGUCGACGUCUUGAUAGAAGUAAGGCAGCGAUCAGAUUAGCGACGCCCUCAAACACAAUGCCCCAUUAAGAGUGGCCGGCAAAUUCGUUUGCAUUCGAAAUUGAAAUUCCUUCAAGGUGAGGUGUUGCAAACUUUUCUUUGCGGUGUUUUUCUAAACGACCCACCGACCGCCCUCUUCCCUCCCACCACCCAAAAAAGAUCCGCAUACCAUCAAGACGUGGUGAUAUUUGGGAGCUCCAUCUCUUUCUUCGGACACUCACGGCGAUGGCGAAUGAAAAGUAAGGAAGGACCACAACCGGGACUCAAAAGAAAAGGAAAAGAAAUAAUUCAGACUUACGCUUUUCUCUCGGCGAUGGAGACUGCCACAAGAUCGUAAAUCUGAGCUCCUGUCGGCGACGUGUUGACCAAAUACAGAGCAAGUUUGUCUGCAAUAA